GCGCUCCCGGAGCUGCUGCCUCUUUAAGAAGGCGGGGCUCAUCCCGGAGGAGGCGGGAUAAGUUCCGCCCCCCGGACCUCCGGCUUCCGGCAAUUCGGCUGGACCCGAACCCGAGGAGAUCUUCUCAGGCUCGAGCCUUCCUGGGUCCGGCUGGACGCCGAGCCCCGCGAGAUGAGGAAUCUGAGGCCCCGAGGAGCGUACACACACCAGAGAAGCGGCAGAAUCGGGAAUCAAACCCAGACUCCUGCAAAUUUUCUUCCUUAUAAUUGGGAGAAGACCCACUGGCUGAAUGGCGGCUGUAGAUGACUUGCAGUUUGAAGAAUUUGGUGAUGCGGCUGCUUCUCUAGCAGCAAACCCAGAUGCCACCACGAUAAGCAUUGAGGAUCCUCGUGAAACCCCAAAACAACCAGGACCCCCAAGAGGCUCAGGGAGAGAAGAGGAUGAUGAAUUACUGGGAAAUGAUGACUCUGACAAAACUGAGUUACUUGCUGGACAGAAGAAAAGCUCCCCCUUCUGGACAUUCGAAUACUAUCAAACAUUCUUUGAUGUGGACACUUACCAGGUCUUUGACAGAAUUAAAGGGUCACUUUUGCCUAUACCUGGAAAAAACUUUGUGAGAUUAUAUAUACGCAGCAAUCCAGAUCUCUAUGGCCCUUUUUGGAUAUGUGCCACACUGGUUUUUGCCAUAGCAAUUAGUGGGAAUCUUUCCAACUUCUUAAUUCAUCUGGGGCAGAAGACAUACCAUUAUGUGCCCGAAUUCCGAAAAGUGUCCAUAGCAGCUACCGUCAUCUAUGCCUAUGCCUGGCUGGUUCCUCUCGCACUCUGGGGUUUCCUCAUGUGGAGAAACAGCAAAGUUAUGAACAUCGUUUCCUAUUCGUUUCUGGAGAUUGUGUGUGUCUACGGAUAUUCACUCUUCAUUUACAUCCCCACGGCAAUACUGUGGAUUAUCCCACAGAAAGCUGUCCGUUGGAUUCUAGUCAUGAUCGCCCUAGGAAUCUCAGGAUCUGUUUUGGCAAUGACAUUCUGGCCAGCUGUUCGGGAGGAUAACAGGCGCAUUGCGUUGGCCACAGUUCUGACAAUUGUGUUGCUUCACAUUCUUCUCUCUGUGGGCUGCUUGGCAUACUUUUUUGAUGCACCAGAGAUGGACCAUCUCCCAGCACCUACAGCUACUCCGAACCAAACAGUUGUGGCAGCUAAGUCCAGCUAGUGAGGAAAGAUCCUCUCAGACGCCCUCUCCUUGGUGAAGUUUUCUUUACUUACUUCAGUUCUCAGUUACAUUUUUUUGGAGUGUAGUUCUUUUGGACAUGGCAUCCUUUGCAGGAAAGCAGAAUGACCAGAGCCAGCAGGAAAGGUGAUGGAGGGGCACGAACCCCCAUGUCUGGAUGACACCUCAUGGAAGCCUACUCUCCCUGUUUGACAAACAAAAAUUAAAUGUUGUUCAGAACGUGUCUUUCAGCUCUUCUUUUUCGCCUUUGGAUUAUCACUGUGACUGUACUGAUUUGGAGUGAAGUGCUAGGGAAUGGUUAGGCCCCUGGCCUCCCAUUGCCUCCCAUCCUCACAUGACAUGCCCCACAGUAGGUACUUUUCAUACCUUCUAUCUGAAAUAGACCUAUCCUAACUUCUCAUGUCCUUUCUCUGAAUUCCAUGCAGAUUCCCUGAGGUGGUCCGCCUUGCUCCAAAUGCUAGCCAUCCUAAAGUAGCCCAACAAUCAAAAUGUUGGUUGGGAUUAAUUGGGAGUUUGAAAAAUUGUCUUUGCUAACCUGGUACUGGAGCUGAGCCUAACGGUCACAAAAUAAAUACCUCAUAUAAUGUC